ACGGGAGGCAGCAGUGGGGAAUAUUGGGCAAUGGGCGCAAGCCUGACCCAGCAACGCCGCGUGAAGGAAGAAGGCUUUCGGGUUGUAAACUUCUUUUGUCAGGGAAGAGUAGAAGACUGUACCUGAUGAAUAAGCCACGGCUAACUACGUGCCAGCAGCCGCGGUAAUACGUAGGUGGCGAGCGUUAUCCGGAUUUACUGGGUGUAAAGGGCGCGUAGGCGGGGAUGCAAGUCAGAUGUGAAAUCCAUGGGCUUAACUCAUGAACUGCAUUUGAAACUGUAUCUCUUGAGUGUCGGAGAGGUAGAUGGAAUUCCUAGUGUAGCGGUGAAAUGCGUAGAUAUUAGGAGGAACACCAGUGGCGAAGGCGAUCUACUGGACGAUAACUGACGCUGAGGCGCGAAAGCGUGGGGAGCAAACAGGAUUAGAUACCCUGGUA
rnacentral:rRNA from 1 species